GGAAGGAGAUCUCCACGUCAGCAACUUCAGGGAGGUUUGGAGGUAGGACCCAAACGCUGACAGAGAGCCCUGGUGUCCUCAUCCUUGGUCCCUGGAGUGGAGAUGCUGGAGAUGUGGGCCCAUCUGUCAUGGACAGCCUUGCAGGGUGCUAUCAGGAUGAAGAUCACAGCACUCAGUUGGCUUCCUCAGGGUGAUCGUAAGCAGCACUGAGCUUCGCUUCAUGUGUAACAGCAUUACUGGAAAAAGACAGUAAAGUCCUUUACAGCCUUGAAAAAGUGUCAGGGAUUUUAUGUAUUCACUGAGGCUUGGAGUUCAAAGGUGAAGACAAUAUCACGCUUUGAUAUACCGAGAGUCAAUCAUCAUCUCAUCUCAACUGGAAAACAAAUGCCUGGGAGGGUGUGUGGGGGGAGUUCAAUUCAAAGCUGGUAUGCAUGGUAAACCCCCUAAUCCCAGCACCUGUGAUAAACACUAUCCAGCAAUAGCAGGUGGAAUUCAACUUGGCUGGCACAGGGCACAGGAGGAUACAAAUGUUUUUGGGAACCUCCCCACUAUUUCCUGGGGAAGACAGUGACAUUCACAGCGUCAGCUACUUCAGGUGUCAACCUCCUGGGGACAAGAGGGCCAUCAAAGAGAACAAAUGGCAAAGGAAGUAAUUAUUAUAUAAUAUUAAAAGAUAAAAAAAUCCUAUUUCAAAUUGGUUAUGCUUCUCAAUAUACUACAUCUCCCCUAGUGGGAUUUUCAAUGAGAGAUAACAUGCACUGACUCACUGAAUAUCCUGAGUUGGAAGGCACCCACAAGCAUCAUCAAGUCCAACUCUGGGCUCCACACAGGGCAAUCCUAAUUUCAAACCUUGCAUCUGAGAGCAGUGUCCAAGUUCUCCAUGAACUCCCAUCACCUGGGGCUGUGCACACUGCCCUGGGCAGCCUGUUCCAUGCCCAUCAUCCUCUGGUGAAGAACCCUUUCUUAACCCCGACCUGAUUCUCCUUGAGGUUCGUGCACUCCCCUUACUCUGUCCUUUUCACUUGAAUCCACCAAAACACCCAAAGUUAUGGUUACUUUUCAUAAUUUUCCCGAGGAGACAUGGCACAAUGGUCUACUUCAACGUACAGGUAAAACUGGGAGCACUCUGCUUUACAUUUUAGUCCAGGACAGUGAGCCUUUGGGAAGAAACUGGACUUUGCAUGGAAAUGCAGAAUCCAGAGCUUUCCGUGAAGGUUUUUAAGCUCUAGUUGGCCAAUUACAGGCCAACCCUAUUCCUUUAGAUGGGGUACCUAAAUAAACCCAGUAACUC
rnacentral:lncRNA from 7 species